rnacentral:rRNA from 1 species
GACGUAGGGGGCAAGCGUUGUUCGGAAUUAUUGGGCGUAAAGCGCUCGUAGGCGGGAUUGGAAGUCCGUGUUGAAAGACCUCGGCUCAACUGAGGGACCGGCUCGGAUACUCUAAUUCUUGAGGCAAUCAGAGGAUGAUGGAAUUCCCGGUGUAGCGGUGAAAUGCGUAGAUAUCGGGAAGGAACACCAGUGGCGAAGGCGAUCAUCUGGGGUUGUUCUGACGCUGAGGAGCGAAAAGCUAGGGGAGCAAACGGG